GAAAUGCGAUAAGUAAUGUGAAUUGCAGAAUUCAGUGAAUCAUCGAAUCUUUGAACGCACAUUGCGCCCGCCAGUAUUCUGGCGGGCAUGCCUGUUCGAGCGUCAUUACAACCCUCAGGCCCCCGGGCCUGGCGUUGGGGAUCGGCGGAAGCCCCUGCGGGCACAACGCCGUCCCCCAAAUACAGUGGCGGUCCCGCCGCAGCUUCCAUUGCGUAGUAGCUAACACCUCGCAACUGGAGAGCGGCGCGGCCACGCCGUAAAACACCCAACUUCUGAAUGUUGACCUCGAAUCAGGUAGAAAUACGCGCUGAACUUAAGC
rnacentral:misc_RNA from 1 species